AUGUCCUACUAGCUUGUCAUGACGGAGGUUAAAUAACGCUCCAAACUUGCUCUAAAUUUUGGCGAAGAAAAACUGUCAUUGCCAUUUUCAAAUGGUCCUUUGACCUAUGAUCUCAAGAUAUGUGAAUGAAAAUGGGUUCUAUGGGUACCCACGAGUCUCCCC